GUCGCCAGCUCCCUCUCUCUCUCUCUAAGCUCACCUCGCGGCGUCAUAUAUAUAUAUAUAUAUAUAUCUCUCUCUCUCUCAAAAAUCUCGCAGCUUCACCGUAGUCUCUCGCUUUCUCUCACGGCGCACACAGCCACUGAUGACGCCGACGAAUCAACCGGAGUUACGCCGAGAUCGAGGACGACGGUUUCCUCCCCCUUCUCCGGCCAGUUUCGGUCGAGAUUUUCAUCAUUUUCACCCCAUCGGUGCGGUUUCGGAGUCAAAAAUUGAAACCGAUAUGUCGGUUUUCACCCCUAUAACCAGCUUAGAAUUUUUGCGCAUCUUUUUUUACAAAUGUUGUUAGUCGUUCUAAUAUCGUGGUUGAUUACAGCCCCCGCCAAUGCCACCUUUUCCGACAACGUUCAUCUACCCUCGCUGAACUAAUACGGAGGAGUCCGGCCAUGUUCAACAAACGAACCAGGUUAGAAAUUUUUCAUAUAAUUUUUUUCCUUUAUGUUGUUAUGCAUUCUAAUAUCGUGCUUAAUUACAACCCCCACCAAGGCCACAUCUUCUAACAACGUUUAUCUACCCUCCGUCGACUAAUGCAGAGGAGUCGGGCCAUGUUUAGCAACCUAACUAGGUUAGAACUUUUGCGCAUCUUUUUUUACAAAUUUUGUUACCCGUUCUAAUAUCAUGCUUGAUUAUAGCCCCCUUCAAUGCCACAUUUUUCGACAACGUUCAUCUACCCUCCAUCGACUAAUGUGGAGGAGUCGGCCAUGUUCAAAAAACGAACUAGGUUAGAAAUUUUGCAUAUAAUUUUUUUUCCUUUAAGUUGUUACGCAUUCUAAUAUCGUGCUUGAUUAUAGCCCCCUUCAAUGCCACAUUUUUCGACAACGUUCAUCUACCCUCCCCCAACUAAUACGGAAGAGUCCGGCCAUGUUUAACAAAUGAACUAGGUAAUUUCAUUUUGACCUUUUAUUUUUUUCCAUUACGUGCAUUGUUACCCGUAAUGAGUACGUUCAUCUACCUGAUUACAGCCCCCACUGCCAUGCCCUCCAUCAAGUGUCGGAGAGGAGUCGAGAAGCUUUGAAAAUUCUAAAACUAAUCUAUCGACUAAUGUGACAUUUAUAUCUGAAAGUGAAACUGAUGUUGGAUAUACAUCUCUUUUAAAUGAAGAGAAUGAAGAAGCUGAGGAUUUAAAUGACGAAAAUUCUGAUAAUGACCAAGUUGAGGAGGAUCCCAAACCUGGUAUGGAGUUUGCCUUUGAACAUGAGCUUAUGGCCUAUUAUAAGCGAUAUGUCAAGCAAAAAGGUUUUGGUAUUAUAACACAACGGAUGAAGAGAGAGGCAGAUAGGAGCGUGAGGUAUUUGAUGAUUGGGUGUACGCGAGGUGGCAAGUACCAACCUAGCCAUAGUAAUAUCUUGAGGCCACGACCAACUAUUAACACAGAUUGUAAGACAAGGAUAAAUGCUCACUUGGUGAAUGGUACUUGGGAGGUGACCAUUGUUGAGAUUGCUCAUAAUCAUAGCACUGUCAGCCCACAAAAAUCUAGAUUCUUUAGAUCGCAUAAGUAUUUAGACAAAUACAGUUAGAGGAUGCUUGAUUUGAACAACAGAGCGUGUAUUCAAAUGAACAAGAAUUUUGGGCACUUGUUGUUGAUGCAGGGGGGUUCGAGAAUCUAGAUUUUUAAGAAAAAGACUGUCGAAAUUUUAUUGACAAAGUUAGGAAAUUAAGGUUGGGUAAAGGAGGUGGCGAAACACUUACUGAGUACUUCAAUAGGAUGAGAUUGCAGAAUGAUGGUUUUACAUAUAUGAUUGAUGUGGAUGAGGAGUUGAGAUUGAGAAAUGUGUUUUGGGCUGACGCACGUAGUCGAGCAGCGUAUGAGUAUUUUGGAAAUGUUAUCACCUUCGAUAUGACAUACCUAACCAAUAAAUACGGUAUGCCAUUUGCUCCAUUUGUUGGUGUAAAUCAUCAUGGAUAGUCUAUACUAUUAGGAGCUAGGUUGCUUUCAAGCGAAGACACAAGUACUUUUCUGUGGUUGUUUUGAACAUAGUUAGAAUGCAUGGAUGGUUGGGCUCCAAAAGCAAUUAUUACUGACCAAGAUCGAGCAAUGAAAAGUGCUAUUGUUCUGGUAUUCCCAGACACUCACCAUAGAUAUUGUCUAUGACAUAUAGUACAAAAAUUGCCCGAGAAAUUGGGAUCUCACACUGCCUAUAAUGCAGGGUUGAAGACUUCCAUCCAGAGUGCCCUAUAUGAUUCACAGACAUGAGCAGAAUUUGAGAUGAAGUGGGGGCAACUUAUUCAGAAGUAUGAACUUGGUGAUAAUGCAUGAAUGCAAGGGUUGUACAAUGAGAGGUCGUUCUGGGUAUCGGCGUACCUUAAGAGAGUAUUUUGGGAUGGCAUGAGCACAACUCAGAGGUCUGAAAGUAUGAACGCUUUCUUCGAUGGGUUUGUGCAUUCUAGUAUGACUUUGAAAGAAUUUAUCGAUCAAUUUGACAAUGCACUCAGAAAAAAGGUGGAGCUCGAGACGACAGCUGAUUUCAAUUCCUCCAACCAAACCAUCCCAUGUUCAUCUGCAUUCUGCAUUGAGAAAUAAUUUCAAUCGGUGUAUACGAGUGCAAAAUUUAAAGAGGUCCAAAGAGAGGUGUGGGGAGUGAUUUUAUAUAACUGCAUACUUAUCAGCAAGGAUGGUUGCAUUUCCACCUACGAUGUUUUGGGUGAAAUUACCACUGAUUAUGACCAUGUCAAGAGCGUAAAGUACACAGUUUACUUUAACCAGGAGGAAGUUGAUGUUAAAUGCACAUGUGCAUUAUUUGAGAUGGGGAGAUUCUUUGUAGGCAUGCAUUGAACGUUUGCCAGAUGAAUAAGAUUCAUGCGUUGCUAGAUACGUACAUCUUGGAUCGAUGGAGGAAGGACUUAAAUAGGAGAUAUACAAUAGUAAAAAGUAGCUAUGACGACUUGCGACAGAAUGUGGACUCACGAAGGUAUGAGUUCGUGGUUAAACAGUGCCUCACUUGGGCAACCCAUGUUUGCCCAAGUGAUGAUCAUGUUAUUGCAUUCAUGUGCCACUUGGAUGAGUUUGAGAAUAAAUUUAAAGGAUUAACACUCGAGUUCGGUUCAAGUAAGGUAAAAGAGACUAUGGUCAUGGACAAGGGUAAGAAAAUCUUAGGCCCACACAUUGUUCGAGGGAAAGGGAGGCCACCAAUGAAAAUGAAGGUUCUGCCUGUGGAGAAAACUGCAACAAAGCGAAAGAAGAAACCGACUUGCAGGAAAAUAUUUGAUGAUGCAUCACAGGAUGGUGAGGUAUUGGAAGCUCCAGAAACUGAUAAGAUAUCAUGUGAUGUUCCUGCAGUACUGAAGGCUUUGGAGGAGAUUGGUUCUCAACUAAGGAAAAACCCUCCACAACAAGUGAUUUCUAUUAGCCCAUCAUACAACUAUACUGCAAUCAGACCACCCCAACCAUUCUUGGACCCAACUUCAGGUAUAUGGUGGGAAAGGUGAACAAGAACAUCGACAAAUUCAAUUUGCCAGUAGCACUCAACAGAUUCAUCUAGAGGAAGGCCCUGGUGAUAUACUUGUAUUUUUUGACUGGGCAAGAGGAGAUUGAAUCAGUCGAACGACUUGUAAAAGAGCGACUUCAACAGUUACCUGAAGGCAGUUGAAAGCUGUUAACCGUUCCCAUAUUUUCAGCUCUUCCCUCAGAAAAGCAAAUGCGAGCAUUUAGACAAGCUCCAGCCGGUUUCCGUAAGGCAAGAACUGCAAUGAGAUGCUUUUCAAGUCCAGAGGGAGACCACCUCACUUUGGUUAAUGUGUACCAUGCUUGUGAUGAGUUCUUGGAUAAGAGAGUGGUGGGGCUCAGCAAAGAGAAAAAGGACAAAAUUCUGAGCAAGUGGUGCAAGGAAAAUUUCAUCAAUAGUCGUUCCCUGAGACAUGCUCGUGACAUUCACAGAUCUCCACGCCUAAUUUAUUAGGUGCUUAUUGCAGUCAAAUUCGAUGUCAUGUUGAACAAAUGGGUCUUCGUGUUGCUUCUUGUGGAGAUGGCAUGGUUCAGUUCCGCAAAUGUCUCGCUGCUUCAUUCUUCCUCAAUGCAGCUUUGAGGCAGCCAGAGGGAACAUAUAGGUUGAAGCAAAACUCAAAAGGUACUUUUACAAACACGUGCUGACCUGGGAUGUUGCCUACCAUAUUGGCUUUCAAUAUCAGAAGAAAAACUUGGUUCAACACGUUUAUUGCACCAAUCAAGUCAUUACCUUUUUGGAAAAAUAAAAGGAAUGUUAAUUUAGAUGCAGCACCUUAAAGUUUUGGAGUUAUUCUAUGAGCUACCUUGCUUAAAGCACUCUUUCAGAAAACAAUUCUUGAUGCCAAUCUUUGUCUUCUAAAUCAUGCUGGAUGCCGCAGUUUGAUGUUUUGGUUCCUCUACUGCAAUGUGAGAAAGGAGAAUGGAGAAUUGGAAUUCUGUAGCAGAUAUUUAUUUUUCUUUUAAAAAAAGCUGGCUGUUUUCUGAUGGAAAUUCUCCCUGGAAGUAGGAAUUUGAUGGCUUCUGGCCCAGUUUUUAGGCACUGGCUCUCAACUUGUCUGGGCGGGGGCUUCUGGUGCAUAUUUCCUAGGUCUAUUUACAUUGAGGAGUUUCUUUCGAAGGUGGCUCCCAGUUAUCUAUGGAGAUUUCCAUCAACUUGACUGAAGGCAAUGUUUCACUCCUGCCUUGUGUAUCAUAAUAUAUAAAGACCAGGAGGGCUGUUGCUUAACUCUUAAGGCAUCUCAGCAGACUCAGCAGACCAAACAAUUUGCUGCUUCCUCGAGUCCCCCUACUUGCUUGGAGAUACGCGCAUACUUUAGUUCAUUACAGAAGUUAUUAUUGAUCUCGAUGAGGUUGUGGCAGCCUUGAGCAUUGAUGAGUAACCAUAGUCUCCAGUCACAAGGGUUUGCAAUAGAAGUUUUGCUAUGUACAAGCGAACUUGCAUACCAAUCUGCGUAUUAAUGUUAAUAGAUUCAUAUUCAAAAUUUAAAUUGAUACUAUUUUUAAUAAAAUUUAUUUUCUGACUAAUCACAUUGGAUGGGUGCACGUAUUGGUGUAUAGAAUCGCUUACAACUAGAUUUUUUCUUGCAAGAGACUUUGAUAUUAGAUACUUCAUAAUUCUGACUUAAAGGAAUAGGAAAAUUGUUGUCUGAGUGCUGUGAUGUAUCUUGUGCCUCUGUAUAUAUUAUUUGAGCAUUAAUUGGAUGAAACCCAA